rnacentral:lncRNA from 1 species
AGCCCCUAUCCUACAACCCUGAUACUAGACCUCCAGACUUUCCUAUCAAGGGUCAUGUCCUCGAAAACUCGCAUUCUAGCCAUGUCAUGCCUAAACACCUCUCCCCAAUACUUCUUAGGCCUCCCUCUGCCUCGCCGAACGCCGACAAUCGCCAGCCGCUCACAACUCCUCACCGGGGCAUCAACACUUCUCCUCCGCACAUGCCCUAACCACCUAAGCCUCGCUUCUCGCAUCUUCUCAUCCACCAGGGCCACCCCCACCUUCUAUCGAAUAACUUCAUUCUUAAUCUAAUCUAACCUGGUGAACCCGCACAUCCACCUGAGCAUCCUCAUCUCGGCAACCUUCAUUCUCUGAACAUGAGAGUUCUUCACGGGCCAGCACUCCGCCCCAUACAACAUCGCAGGCCUAACCACGGCUCUGUAGAAUUUCCCCUUGAGUUUGUGUGGAAUUUUCUUGUCACACAGGACCCCUGAAGCAUCCAUACAUCUAUCCUCUCAAUAACUCCGACCCUCGUCUCAUCUAUCAAGACUAUGUGAUCAGCGAAUAGCAUACACCAAGACACAUCCCCUUGAAUAUGACGGGUUAGAGCAUCCAUCACUAAGGCAAACAAGAGAGGGCUAAGC